rnacentral:rRNA from 1 species
GGAGGGCAAGUCUGGUGCCAGCAGCCGCGGUAAUUCCAGCUCCAAUAGCGUAUAUUAAAGUUGUUGCAGUUAAAAAGCUCGUAGUUGAACCUUGGGCCUGGCUGGCCGGUCCGCCUCACCGCGUGCACUGGUUCGGCCGGGCCUUUCCCUCUGGGGAACCCUAUGGUCUUCACUGAUCGUAGCGGGGAACCAGGACUUUUACUGUGAAAAAAUUAGAGUGUUCAAAGCAGGCCUAUGCUCCAAUACAUUAGCAUGGAAUAAUAAAAUAGGACGUGUGGUUCUAUUUUGUUGGUUUCUAGGACCGCCGUAAUGAUUAAUAGGGACAGUCGGGGGCAUCACUAUUCAAUUGUCCCAGGUGAAAUUCUUGAAUUUAUUGAAGACUAACUACUGCGAAAGCAUUUGCCAAGGAUGUUUUCAUUAAUCACGAACGAAAGUUAGGGGAUCGAAGACGAUCAAAUACCGUCAUAGUCUUAACCAUAAACUAUGCCGACUACGGAUCGGACGGUGUUAUUUUUGACCCGUUCGGCACCUUACGGGAAAC